UAGAGUUUGAUCCUGGCUCAGAACGAACGCUGGCGGCGUGCUUAACACAUGCAAGUCGAACGAGAAAUUUCUUCUUCGGAAGAGAGAGUAAAGUGGCGCACGGGUGAGUAACGCGUAGAUAAUCUACCUCCAGGUUGGGGAUAACACUGCGAAAGCGGUGCUAAUACCGGAUAAGCUCCGGGGGAUGCGAAUUUCCCGGAGGAAAGGUGGCCUCUGAUACAAGCAAUCGCCUGGGGAGGAGUCUGCGUAUCAUUAGCUAGUAGGUGGGGUAAGAGCCUACCUAGGCCACGAUGAUUAGCGGGUCUGAGAGGAUGAUCCGCCACACUGGAACUGACACACGGACCAGACUCCUACGGGAGGCAGCAGUGAGGAAUUUUGCGCAAUGGGGGAAACCCUGACGCAGCGACGCCGCGUGAGUGAAGAAGGCCUUCGGGUUGUAAAGCUCUGUCAGAUGGGAAUAAGUUCAUUCGUGUUAAUAGCACGGGUGUUUGAGGGUACCAUCAAAGGAAGCACCGGCUAACUCCGUGCCAGCAGCCGCGGUAAUACGGAGGGUGCAAGCGUUGUUCGGAAUCACUGGGCGUAAAGGGCACGCAGGCGGCCAAUCAAGUCAGGUGUGAAAUUCCAGGGCUCAACCCUGGACGUGCAUCUGAAACUGGUUGGCUUGAGUAUGGGAGAGGAAAGUGGAAUUCCCGGUGUAGAGGUGAAAUUCGUAGAUAUCGGGAGGAAUACCUGAGGCGAAGGCGACUUUCUGGACCAAUACUGACGCUGAGGUGCGAAAGCGUGGGUAGCGAACAGGAUUAGAUACCCUGGUAGUCCACAGCUGUAAACGAUGUGCACUAGAUGUUGGAGGAGUUGACCCCUUCAGUGUCGAAGCUAACGCGAUAAGUGCACCGCCUGGGGAGUACGGCCGCAAGGUAAAAACUCAAAGGAAUUGACGGGGGCCCGCACAAGCGGUGGAGUAUGUGGUU
rnacentral:rRNA from 1 species